rnacentral:rRNA from 1 species
GCAGCAUAUUUCGCUUGCGAAAUGAUGGCGACCGGCGCACGCGCCUGUGUAACGCGUAUGCAACCUGCCUUGUACAGGAGAAUAGCCCGAAGAAAUUCGGAUUAAUGCUCCAUAAUGAUGUUGAUUGGCAUCGAUUAACAUUUAAAGCUUCGGCGGUACAAGAUGGGCAUGCGUCCUAUUAGCUAGUUGGUGUGGUAACGGCACACCAAGGCAACGAUAGGUAGGGGGCCUGAGAGGGUUAUCCCCCACACUGGUACUGAGACACGGACCAGACUCCUACGGGAGGCAGCAGUGAGGAAUAUUGGUCAAUGGAGGCAACUCUGAACCAGCCAUGCCGCGUGCAGGAUUGACGGCCCUAUGGGUUGUAAACUGCUUUUAUAUAAGAAGAAUCCCUUUUACGUGUAAGAGGUUGACGGUACUAUACGAAUAAGGACCGGCUAACUCCGUGCCAGCAGCCGCGGUAAUACGGAGGGUCCAAGCGUUAUCCGGAAUCAUUGGGUUUAAAGGGUGCGUAGGCGGACAUAUAAGUCAGUGGUGAAAUCCCGAGGCUCAACUUCGGAACUGCCAUUGAUACUGUAUUGUCUUGAGUUUAGUUGAAGUAGGCGGAAUGUGUAGUGUAGCGGUGAAAUGCAUAGAUAUUACACAGAACACCGAUAGCGAAGGCAGCUUACUAAGCUACAACUGACGCUGAGGCACGAAAGCGUGGAGAGCGAA